rnacentral:rRNA from 1 species
GCAGAGAGGCCACACCCGUUCCCAUACCGAACACGGAAGUUAAGCUCUCUAGCGCCGAUGGUAGUUGGGACCUUGUCCCUGUGAGAGUAGGAC